ACCAAGCUCCCGGAUCUCCCGGAACACAGCAGUGGAAUGCACAACUCUGGAUCCGGCAGUAUGGGUUCCUCUGGCGGAUAGCCUACAAUACGGCUGCUUCGAUGUCCACUACAAACUGUCCCCUCUGUCAGGCGCGCAGCUGGCGGUCGAUGGAUCGUGACAAGAAUCAGAACGCCAAAGGCAUCUGUUUCAUAUUGGAACCUUUACCUGACGAAGUUGUGGAUGCUGAACAGUUGUGUAAAUGGAGGCUUGACCACGUGGAAUAACGUACCCAUAUACCAGGACUUGGUCUUUAUCAUGAGGUCAAGUUGAAGGUCUGCUGAAAGAAUAAUUAAGAUGGCGGCGUUCAUGCAUAGUGACAUCUCUCCGCACAAAAACAGGCCUCAAAAUGUUGAAUGUUUAGUAUACAUAUUUUGUGACCUAAAUACACACGCCGCCCAUUGUCUGAUGUAGGCUGACUGUGAUU